rnacentral:lncRNA from 1 species
ACCGACAAGAGACAUGACAAUAGAAUGCAUUAAGGCCUUCCCAUAUAUGCAAGUGUGGCUGCACUGGUUAGCUCGACUCGAUGGCACUAUGACUCAGCCAACACGUGUUCAAGUUCGAUAGAAGUCUAGUUUAACUUGCAUGAUGAUGAGUGGAGUCGUAAUAAUAAAAAGUAUGAUGAAAUGAUAAUGCAUAAGACCAGGAUAUCAACAUGAACAGGGAUGAGCAACAUAACUAUUUAACAUAUCAACGACAAUAAAUCAUUCUCUAGAUGCAAAUGAGUAUGGCAUACUUAUGGUCAUGAAUAUUACAAGUGUAAUGUAUAUAAUAAAAUUUAAGAUGGACCUAGCAUGAUCACUAGCACCAGAAAAUAAUUACCAUAAAAGUAAUUACUCAACCAACUAGUUGCAAUUGAUCAUGGCGUAAAGAUAAGCAGGGAUUCGCAAGAAUGUAUAUAGCAUUCCAAAAAUAUUAACAUGCCCAAAGUAUAUAAAUAGUCAAUUAUAAAACCAUGGCUACUCUAAGGCCAACAUGGAGGUGGCUGUCAUGGCUUGCCUGGCGUGAAGGGUUCUCCGGGAGUAAGUGCAAUGAAGCUCGUGGAAAGAUUCUCCGGAACGUUUAUUUCUUAGAGGGGGCUCAUUAGGGGCAAAGGCAAAAUGGUCAUUUUCACAGUGUAUCACAUCAUGAAAAUGGUACAACAGAAUGGGCUCGACAAACAGAUCAUGUGGGCUUUGGAAUCACCUGAUUCGGAGUUACGGUCGGUUAUGGAUAGUUGAAAGUUAGGGACUUAUUUGUAAAACAAAUAUGUACAAACCAGCCCCUGACUAAGUAGAUAGUAAACGUCUUCCGUGAAAAUACGCCUUGUGCAAAAGAACAUGUAUUCCAGCUAUAGAAGAACCAGAGUACGCUUUCUAACUUGGAAAGCAUAUUCUAGAUAAUACGUUUCAACUAAAGUUGCGGGGCCGACCAUCGGUUUCACUUAUAGGCGGGCCCCGUGUUGAUUCUCUAUGUUCUGUCGCCCACCUUCUUCCACCUCGCGACCACGGGAAUAGAGGAGGGUCCGAGUGCAUGUCGGCGCCCGUCCCGGCUCCAGCGGCCACCUCCGGCGACGCUCGAGCUACUGGCCGGACCGGGGGGCUUCCGACAGCUUGGUCCACGCUCAUAGGAUAACUCGGGGCUGAGUGGGUCGUUGACCAUGGCGGCUGAUGGCGUCGGCCAUCAUGGGGAACACUCGGCUCGGCCACCGGGAAGGAGCUAGGGUGGUGUGGAUUUUUGAGGAGGCCAGGGGAUCGCUGUGGUGAGGUUCCGAGGGUGAAUGGGGCUCCGAUGAGCUUGAAUUUACGUGGACCGAGGCGGAGCUCAUGGCGGGAGUGAGAGGUCUGGAGGAGCUCCGGGAGCGAAUUGAGAGGCCGGGGAGGCGUCUAGGAGCAUGUAGGAGAGCUUGGUGAGGUUGAGAAGCCUCGGGGAGGGCUAUAUAUAGCCGGACCUCAAGAUGGGGCGAGAACGACCACGAUGACGCGUGUGCCGGCGCUCUGGCAUGAAUCAACGAUGCGAAGGGGAGGGGCGGUGUUUCCAGAGGCUACACGAGGAGGAGAGAAGACCCAAGCAUGCUUGAAAAGGCUCGGGGCGAUGCGGGCGAUGCGGGCGAUCGGCCGACUGCGGAGCAGCCCGCGUCUGCCCCUCUACACGGCCUCCGCCCUGCGUACGAGAUGACCUGAGAGGGGGAGAGAGAUUCAGGGUGAUGGCCAUGGUACAGUGGAGCUACUAGACAUGGCGAGAUACCGAUAGCUUGAGGGAACGUACGAGAACAUUGGGAACAUACGAGAACAGUGGUCACAAUUGCGAGAGCGCGUGGACGGACAUGCCAAAGAUAUAGUCACCGCGUGAACGUGACAGUAACUCGUGCUCUGAGCAGCCAAAGGCGAUUGUUCAUUCACAACUGAGUGUGAAAGUGCAAAUGAAUAAGAAUAGUAACCAUAGAUAUGACCAUAGCUUGCUCUAAGACAACAGAACAACAAAGUGUGUGUUGUGGAGUGAACAAUACAAAUGUGGAGAGAGACUCUGAUCUUUGGCUUAGAGUGAUCAAACGGAUGAAGUGAACUAGCACUUGUUGCACAAAGUGUCAAACUGGACAGAACUUAAUAUGUUCAAGUAGCCCUCACUUAGAUCGUUGGACUGCGUUGAAUUUUGAUGAAGGAUAG